rnacentral:rRNA from 1 species
UGGGGAAUUUUGGACAAUGGGCGAAAGCCUGAUCCAGCAAUGCCGCGUGUGUGAAGAAGGCCUUCGGGUUGUAAAGCACUUUUGUCCGGAAAGAAAUCCUUGGCUCUAAUACAGUCGGGGGAUGACGGUACCGGAAGAAUAAGCACCGGCUAACUACGUGCCAGCAGCCGCGGUAAUACGUAGGGUGCAAGCGUUAAUCGGAAUUACUGGGCGUAAAGCGUGCGCAGGCGGUUUGCUAAGACCGAUGUGAAAUCCCCGGGCUCAACCUGGGAACUGCAUUGGUGACUGGCAGGCUAGAGUAUGGCAGAGGGGGGUAGAAUUCCACGUGUAGCAGUGAAAUGCAUAGAGAUGUGGAGGAAUACCGAUGGCGAAGGCAGCCCCCUGGGCCAAUACUGACGCUCAUGCACGAAAGCGUGGGGAGCAAACAGGAUUAGAUACCCUGGUAGUCCACGCCCUAAACGAUGUCAACUAGUUGUUGGGGAUUCAUUUCCUUAGUAACGUAGCUAACGCGUGAAGUUGACCGCCUGGGGAGUACGGUCGCAAGAUUAAAACUUAAAUGAAUUGACGGGGUCAUAGCUGUUUCCU